rnacentral:rRNA from 1 species
AGAGUUUGAUCAUGGCUCAGAUUGAACGUUGGCGGCAGGCCUAACACAUGCAAGUCGAGCGGAAACGAGAAUAGCUUGCUAUUCGGCGUCGAGCGGCGGACGGGUGAGUAAUGCCUGGGAAAUUGCCCUGAUGUGGGGGAUAACCAUUGGAAACGAUGGCUAAUACCGCAUAAUAGCUUCGGCUUAAAGAGGGGGACCUUCGGGCCUCUCGCUUCAGGAUAUGCCCAGGUGGGAUUAGCUAGUUGGUGAGGUAAAGGCUCACCAAGGCGACGAUCCCUAGCUGGUCUGAGAGGAUGAUCAGCCACACUGGAACUGAGACACGGUCCAGACUCCUACGGGAGGCAGCAGUGGGGAAUAUUGCACAAUGGGCGCAAGCCUGAUGCAGCCAUGCCGCGUGUAUGAAGAAGGCCUUCGGGUUGUAAAGUACUUUCAGCAGUGAGGAAGGGUGUGUAGUUAAUAGCUGCAUACUUUGACGUUAGCUGCAGAAGAAGCACCGGCUAACUCCGUGCCAGCAGCCGCGGUAAUACGGAGGGUGCGAGCGUUAAUCGGAAUUACUGGGCGUAAAGCGCAUGCAGGUGGUUUGUUAAGUCAGAUGUGAAAGCCCGGGGCUCAACCUCGGAACCGCAUUUGAAACUGGCAGGCUAGAGUACUGUAGAGGGGGGUAGAAUUUCA